rnacentral:rRNA from 1 species
AUCGAAUAAAUCACUGAUAAUUAACGUCCUCCCUGAGAUCCUUGCAAUAACAAAACAAGAAAACCAUGCACUUAUAACCGUUAAUCUAACACAAGAACAUUACAGGAAAGAUUAAAAGACGCAGAAGGAACUCGGCAAACUAUGAACCCCGCCUGUUUACCAAAAACAUCGCCUCUUGCUAAAAAACAUGUAUAAGAGGUCCAGCCUGCCCAGUGACUAUAUGUUCAACGGCCGCGGUAUUCUGACCGUGCAAAGGUAGCGUAAUCACUUGUCUUUUAAAUAAAGACUGGUAUGAACGGCACCACGAAGGUUCAACUGUCUCCUGCAUCCAAUCCAUUAAACUGACCUCCCCGUGCAGAGGCGGGGAUACAACCAUAAGACGAGAAGACCCUAUGGAGCUUUAAACUAAAGGCAACUGCCAACUUCAACCUAACCCAUAAGGAAAUAACAAUUAAACAAGCAGAAACUGACCUAAAGUUUUCGGUUGGGGCGACCACGGAGAAUAAAAAAUCCUCCUUGAAGAAUAGGGCCUACCACCCUUAAC